rnacentral:tRNA from 1 species
GGGCCUAUAGUCUAGCGGUAUGAUGCCACCUUCACACGGUGGAGGUCCCCGGUUCGAAUCCGGGUGGGCCCA